UUUUGUUUUGUUUUGCUUUUUGGUUUUUUUUUUGAGAGGGAGUCUCACUCUGUCUGUCGCCCAGGCUGGAGUGCAGUAGUGCGAUCUCGGCUCACUGCAUCCUCCGCCUCCUGGGUUCAAGUGAUUCUCUCACCUCAGCCUCCCAAGUAGCUGGGAUUACAGGUGCAUGCCACCAUGCCUGGCUAAUUUUUGUAUUUUUAGUAGAGAUGGGGUUUCACUGUGUCGGCCAGGCUGGUCCUCAAGUGAUCCGCCCACCUUGGCUUCCCAAAGUGUUGGGAUUACAGGCGUCAGCCACGGUGCCUGGCCCAUAAAUAGGUCUAUUUUGAAUCUUUACUUGUCUGAGUUUUGAAGGCAUUUGAGUUGGAGGUCCCCGUUAAACCUUUUAACGUCACGUUUCUGAAGGUGUUUCCCUCCCAGAUGAUGACCCAGAGGCUGGCCAGGGAAGCAAGUUUUGCCUAGUGGCCAUUGGCAGAUUGCAGGUAACUAGUUCUCCCAACUGUACAGACAUGAGUAAUGUUUGUCAACCAACAGAGUUCAUCUCCCGACACAACAUUGAGGGUAUCUUCACUUUUGUGGAUCACCGCUGUGUGGCUACUG
rnacentral:lncRNA from 10 species